GCCGGUGUAGCUCAGUUGGUAGAGCAGCUGAUUUGUAAUCAGCUGGCCGGGGGUUCGAGUCCUCUCACCGGCUCCA
rnacentral:tRNA from 1 species